AGUGAACGCUGGCGGUAGGCCUAACACAUGCAAGUCGAACGGCAGCACCGUAAGAUCUUGCUCUUCCGGGUUGCGAGUGGCGGACGGGUGAGGAAUACAUCGGAAUCUACUUUUUCGUGUGGCAUAACGUAGGGAAACUUACUCUAAUACCGCAUACGACCUACGGUUGAAAGCAUUGGAUCUUCGCACCUUGCGCGAUUGAAUGAGCCGAUGUGGGAUUGGCUAGUUGGCGGGGUAAAGGCCCACCAAGGCGACGAUCCGUAGCUGGUCUGAGAGGAUGGUAGGCGACACUGGAACGGAGACACGGACCAGACUACUACGGGAGGGAGCAGUGGGGAAUAUGAGACAAUGGGCGCAAGCCUGAUACAGCCAGACCGAGUGGGUGAAGAAGGCCUUCGGGUUGUAAAGCCCUUUUGUUGGGAAAGAAAAGCAGCAGGUUAAGACCCAGCUGUUCUGACGGUACCCAAAGAAUAAGCACCGGCUAACUUCGUG
rnacentral:rRNA from 1 species